rnacentral:rRNA from 1 species
AUACGUAGGUGGCAAGCGUUAUCCGGAAUUAUUGGGCGUAAAGAGGGAGCAGGCGGCAGCAAGGGUCUGUGGUGAAAGCCUGAAGCUUAACUUCAGUAAGCCAUAGAAACCAGGCAGCUAGAGUGCAGGAGAGGAUCGUGGAAUUCCAUGUGUAGAGGUGAAAUGCGUAGAUAUAUGGAGGAACACCAGUGGCGAAGGUGGCGAUCUUGCCUGCAACUGACGCUCAGGCCCGAAAGCUUGGGGAGCAAAUAGGAUUAGAUACCCUAGUAGUCCACGCCGUAAACGAUGAGUACUAAGUGUUGGAUGUCAAAGUUCAGUGCUGCAGUUAACGCAAUAAGUACUCCGCCUGAGUAGUACGUUCGCAAGAAUGAAACUCAAAUGAAUUGACGGGG